rnacentral:rRNA from 1 species
GUAGCGGCGAGUGAAGCGGCAAAAGCUCAAAUUUGAAAUCUGGCACUUUCAGUGUCCGAGUUGUAAUUUGAAGAAGGUAUCUUUGGGUCUGGCUCUGUCUAUGUUUCUUGGAACAGAACGUCACAGAGGGUGAGAAUCCCGUGCGAUGAGAUGUCCCAGACCUAUGUAAAGUUCCUUCGAAGAGUCGAGUUGUUUGGGAAUGCAGCUCUAAGUGGGUGGUAAAUUCCAUCUAAAGCUAAAUAUUGGCGAGAGACCGAUAGCGAACAAGUACAGUGAUGGAAAGAUGAAAAGAACUUUGAAAAGAGAGUGAAAAAGUACGUGAAAUUGUUGAAAGGGAAGGGCUUGAGAUCAGACUUGGUAUUUUGUAUGUUACUCUCUCGGGGGUGGCCUCUACAGUUUACCGGGCCAGCAUCAGUUUGGGCGGUAGGACAAUUGCAAAGAAAUGUGGCACUGCCUCGGUAGUGUGUUAUAGUCUUUGUCGAUACUGCCAGCCUAGACUGAGGACUGCGGCUUCGGCCUAGGAUGUUGGCAUAAUGAUCUUAAGUCGCCCGUCUUGAAACACGGACCAAGGAGUCUAACGUCUAUGCGAGUGUUUGGGUGUAAAACCCGUACGCGUAAUGAAAGUGAACGUAGGUAGGACCUCCUUUAGGAGUGCACUAUCGACCGAUCCUGAUGUCUUCGGAUGGAUUUGAGUAAGAGCAUAGCUGUUGGGACCCGAAAGAUGGUGAACUAUGCCUGAAUAGGGUGAAGCCAGAGGAAACUCUGGUGGAGGCUCGUAGCGGUUCUGACGUGCAAAUCGAUCGUCGAAUUUGGGUAUAGGGGCGAAAGAC